rnacentral:rRNA from 1 species
UGAGGAACUUGCCCAUGAGCGGGGGACAACAUUCGGAAACGGAUGCUAAUACCCCAUAGGUGGAUUGGUCGCAUGACGAAUUCAUUAAAGGUGGCUUUGCCACCACUCAUUGAUAGCCUCGCGGCGUAUUAGCUAGUUGGUAAGGUAAUGGCUUACCAAGGCAGUGAUACGUAGCCGACUUGAGAGGGUGAUCGGCCACACUGGGACUGAGACACGGCCCAG